rfam:Rattus norvegicus chromosome 4, whole genome shotgun sequence.
GGGGAUUUAGCUCAGUGGUAGAGCGCUUGCCUAGCAAGCACAAGGUCCUGGGUUCGGUCCCCAGCUCCA